rnacentral:rRNA from 1 species
UACGGAGGGAGCGAACGUUGUUCGGAUUUACUGGGCGUAAAGGGUGUGUAGGCGGUCUUGCAAGUCAGGGGUGAAAUCUCUCGGCUCAACCGAGAAACUGCCUUUGAGACUGCAGGACUUGAGGGCGUGAGAGGAGACUGGAAUCCUAGUGUAGCGGUGAAAUGCAUAGAUAUUAGGAGGAACACCAGUGGCGAAGGCGAGUCUCUGGCACGCAUCUGACGCUGAAACACGAAAGCCAGGGGAGCGAACGGG